UUUUAAACUUCGUGAUUGCAUAACAAUUGCAUAAUAGCACAGGAGAGAUAUAGGAUUUUAUAGAGGAUUUCAGAAAGGUUCUCAGGCGUGAUUUGAUGCAAGCAUUGAAGAACAAACGCCCCAAUCUCGACCCUGAGCGCAUAAUAUUCCACCAAGAAAUACUGCCGACUCACGAUGAAACAAAUUAUAUUGCUGAUUUUGAUAUCGCAUACAAAUGAUGCUUUGGGACAGUUCUUUAAUGAAACAGUAACACUACCGGAAGCCGCUAAGAAUGAGAUAGAGGAAUGUUACAAGAUUAGAGUCAAUCAGGUAUAAUAUUACAUAUUUUCCGCAUUUAAUGUUAUGAAGAAUGAUUUUCAACAUCAUACAUUACCAAAAAAACGUAAAACAUAUAGAAUUGCAAAUAUGCAAGCAGUUACAUUGAUUUAUAGUUAAACAUUAGUAAAUGCGUAAGAUAUAUCUGUACCGUUUCUUUUCUUUGAUACAUUCACUUUUAUAUUGGCAACCACAUGCACAUGUGGUAAGGACAACCCGCCCACUCCUCCUCCUCCGCUUUAACUGUAAGCCAGUAUUUUUUAGCAUUAUAACACGUACCGAGCGCAGACGACGAUCAUACAUUGAAUAUGGUUAUGUCCUAAUUUCGGCAUGCUUUAAUAAUGCGCUUUUUAACCAUUAAUCUCUUUCAAAUUAAAGAUUGGUAUCUGUGAAAUUAAAACUACGAAACAAUUUUAAUUACCACCUGCCUAUGAAUCCUUGGUAUCAAUCAACCAUUCUGUAACAAUUCUGUCAAAUGACAUCGAUUCAGACAACUGACAUUCGGGUUCCGACAAGAAAUCAAUAGCUAUCAGAAAUCGAUCAAGUUUACUUGUAUGGAACACAUUCCUACGAACUGAUCCCUGCUUUGUACUGUGGAUAUCGUAGGUGGGUACCAAAAUUGGGCUUUUAUCAUUGGAAGUGAUGAUCCGGUUUGAUAUAGCCGUAAGCGUAUUAAUUUUGGUACCCGGUUUAUAACACGCACGUUAAAAAGCGGUGGUUCCAGCGCAAGUGGUCCGAGUGUAUUUUAUCUGGGAACCAUAUGCCGCUUUUUAUGGAAUUGCACUCUGUGCAUCAUUGAAGGUUCUAUGUGCACUGCCGUAUGAAUACAUCUGCAGAUGUUUUUAAAUUACACUCUGGUACUUAUAACAUGUGUAAAUGUUGAGUUCUGCUCAACCCGGGACUGGAGGGCGUAGACGGUAGCUUGCACUUCCACUACCGUCUAUGAACAGGCUCAAUCAAACCGAGCCUGCAUCAUGUUCGUUUCUGUCGUGUUGGACGACCUGUGGUUUACCACAGUUUAAUUUUAGUUUCACAGAGGAUAAUCUUGAAUUUAAAAGAGCAUUGAUGGUAUUAUUUUAUACACUGUUGUAUACACUGUUAACGUGUAAUAUUAGUACACACAGUUUUUUUUUAUAAACAUUUUGAUAUAUGUGACGUCGUCUUUGAAAACCGGUCCAGAUGCGGCAUGACGUAAUAUCGAGAAACGACGUUUAAAGUUGCGCCAAGUUUACGCGCGCAGCUUUCUUACACAUGUUUUAAUUAGCAAAAGUUUGACCGUUAAAGUACGACUGCUUGUUACAUGAUUGAUAACAGUCUACUACAGAAAGAAUAUUUAGACAUCAGACCUGUAAAAAAAUAGUGGUAUUACGCCUGAGGCAAAAUAUUUCGUUCAAAAUCAGUUGUUUCGCUAUGAUUCCGGUUUCGGAUUUUAUCAGGGAAGCAUGUGAAGUUUACUUUUGUUUAACUACCUUUUGUUCAACGCCGAAGGGAUCUGAAGCUUGUAAUACUGUUUACUGAUUUGGUAAGUACCGUUUAUAAACAGUAGUUAAUGAAGAUUCUCUAAUAUAUUUGAAACUUUCACUGAAAUAAGUCGGUCUUUUACCCAGAAGUGAAUCCAAAACAUACCGAGGGAAAGUUAUGAAAUUUAUCUUGUGGCCACUAAACACAGAUGAUUUCACUAUGCCUGUGUAUUUAAUAAGCCAGUUGGGUUAUCACAAAGAUUAUUGAAGGCAGGCAGCUUCUUACUCGAGGUGACCAGGAUUCAUCAAAUAAGUUCAUUGUCCAUAGUGUUGUGACGGAUGAUACAUUUAGCGGCCAUGUCCCUAAAGGUUGGUAUUAUUAGUGGUGUGAUACCUACUUCCGGAAGUCGAUAGAGGGCGGGAUUCUCCAACUAGAAGAGCAGACUUUACAGUGUCACCACAGAGAACAGACGUAUGUAAUCUCUUCUUACUAAUUUACAUCUCCGUGGGUAAGUCCCGGUCCUCUCCCUGGCCAAUAAGGUAUAUCUGACUGUGGCUUAAUUCAAUGAUGUUACAAUAAUGGCGACGAGGAUUCAAAUGGCAAUUUAGCGGGUAGAAACAGUCAUUUGCCGUAAGGGUAGACAGCAUCAAUUUCGAGUUGACAUUUUUGUCAUAGGCCGGCACGGCAUAAGGGCGAAAUUGAUUACACUGCAUAAGGUUUGGCAGUGACUUGAAGGUUUUCGUUUUAACCACAGUCUGAAGGGUUGAGCAGGCUGGUAAAUAAAUUCCAGACUUCUAGUUUGAUUGAUUUAUCAUAUAAUCAACAAUAAGGUUUCGGUCAGGAAAAAGGAUUUUGUAGCCUUGGGAGGACAAAAAUGGUAUAAAUAGUAAAGUCUUCAGGUUUCAAGUCAAGAAACUUUUCAACUUCAGCCGGAAAUUAAUUGAAAUGUUUUCACGAAACCUGUACAGUCCAAGAGUGAAGUCUUCUAGACUCGCUCAGGUGCACACAGAUUACAUAAUUACAGUGUAGCUGUCUUCUAGACCUACCUAUUAUCAACAGCAAUACAGACAAAUAUGUUGAUUUAUUUCUUUGUUUAUACAUUGGGGACUUCAUUUUCGUGUAUUCAAUACACUAAUGCAAGAAAUUUGAAUAUUUAUUGUUUGAGUCUGGGUGACCGGUUUAAAUAUUUGAGUUAACAGUGUAUUUUAUACACAAAUAACUGUCUGUAACAUGUAAUCUGAGACAAUUUGUUUUCAAUGUAUUCUAUACGUGAUACAAAAAUUUACAGCAAAUAACUUGACCUCUAAGAUUAAAUUAUUUCUUCAGUAUUCUAUACUGGAAAUAAAUUCAAAUACAAGAACAAAAAGAGAUGUUUUCGGCGUAUUCUAAACACGAAACAGGUUCUACCUACAUGACCAUAAAAAUUGAAUUAUUUCUUCAGAUUUCUAUACUGGAAAUAAAUGUAAGUAUAUAAACAAGAAAAAAUAAAUUGUGUCUGAGUAUUCUAUACUUAAAUAAAUUUAUAACAAAGAAGUAUAAAAUAUUUUGGUGUAUUCUAUACCCAUAAUAUUAAAAAUUGUGAUUAUGCUUUGUCCGACGAAUGACAUUUAAUUACAAAAAAAAAAUGUCCAUCAACAUUAAUACGGCAGGCAAAGAGGAAUUGCAGAACAUUCCUUCAAUAGGACCGAAGAAGGCAGAAAAAAUAAUAUCAUUUAGACAGACAUAUGAAUUUGUAACAAACGAAACUUUGGCUACAUGGUGAUUCAAUAGCAGACAGAGUAGAAAAAAUAGAGUUUACAUUACCAGUAACACCACCAAAUAAAAUUCAUAAAACAGGGGGGAAAUGUAGCAGUGAGAGUUCACCAGGAGGCGCCAUGGGACCAUUAUCUACAGGUUCCCCACAAGAAAUAUUAAAUCAACAAAUUGAAGAAUGUCUUCAACAGUUGUUAGCCUUAAGUCAAGGCAUGAAUAGAACAGACAUUGCUUCAAUGAUAGCAGCCUUGCCAAAAAACACCAAAGUCUGAUGAACGCCCAAAUCAAGCAACAUCACUACAUACAGGGCCUAGUACUUCUAGUACAUGGUCAAGGUCUCCUAUUAAGAAAGAAACUGUUACACCAAAAAUAUCUCUGACCAAAAAUAUUUCGCAUUAAGAACCGGUAGCAGAUAAAUUAUCAAAUAGUCACGAAAGCCAUUUACGAUCAAGUGACAAAUAUUCAGGCGACAGACAUUUAUAAGAAGAACCGACCAAAUCAAGCGACUGUAAUGUCACCGAUAAACAUUCCACACGUCACUGGUCAAGGUCGCCAAAACAUCAAAGAUCUUAUUCAAGGCAUAGAUCUACUAGACACAGAUCUUCUAGAUCUCCGUCUAGGCAUAGGUCAGAAAGAUCUAAAUCGCGACAUGAGUCACAUCAUGGUUCUUCAAAGAAAUAGGUCUCCGUCUCCACACCGAAGUUCAAAUGAUCGUAGAUCAAGGUCAUGUGAUGUUAGGUCAAAAGAUAAAAAUUCAUAACCAUACAAAUAUUCGUCUCAACGUUCUGCAUCUCCCAGUAAACAGCACAAGCAAGAUAAAUAUCAUUCAAGGUCAGAUGACAUUAAAUCUAGUAUAAAAGGAAAAAGGUUAAAAGACACGAAAUCUGGCAAAAGAACACAAAGGUCAGAUGAAUCUAAAUUAGAACAUCAACAUCAACACAGCGAAAAGUUUGACAAAACAGCAAGGUCAGAUGACACUAAAUCAUCAAGAACAAGGACAGAUGACAAGGGUGCUAGGUCUCAUACAUCAAGGUCAGAAGGUACUAAACAUAAAAAAAGAUCUUCAAAACAACAGACAUCUUGACACUCCAGCAACAAAAGGUCAAGGUCCUAUGAUAGGUCAUUGUCAUCUGAAAGUUCAAGGUCAUCUGAAACAUCAAUGUCAACUGAAAGGUCAACGUCAUCAAAAACAUCAAGGUCAUAUGAAGCAUGAAGGUCAUCUGAGAGGUCAUUAAGGUCAAGUACUAGCAGUAGAUCUAGGUGCAGAACUUUUUCAAGUGCCUUACUACGAGGUAAAUUGCAAAGAAUGGACUACAGUGGCCAGUUUAUGUAGAGCAUGCGGUUUGCAGGGGCUAUACUCUGUUGGAAGCAGAACAGUUAAUGUCCCGCUCUGCAAUUCCACUGUAAAGGAAGGCUGCGUGACCAGUUAUAUAGAGCAUGCGGUAUUUGCAGAGGCUAUAUUCUGUUGGAAGCUGAACAGUUGAUGCCUCGCUCUAUGGUUCCACGAUAAGGUUCAAUAUUAAAGUGAGGAGGAGUGAGCAAGGAGUAAGCCUUCAAAAUGGCCAGAUGGAGUGGAAAAAGAAAUUGCUUAUAACAGUUUCACAUUGACUCUAGAACAGACAAAUUACUGCACCACCAGAAAAGAACUUCUGAGCAUUGUUAGGUUUACUAGACAGUAUAGACAUUACCUUCUAGGCAAAGUCUUCACAGUGAGAACAGAUCAUUCGAACUUGACUUGGUUAUUAAUGUUCAAAGAACCGCAGGGUCAGCUGGCACGAUGGAUUGAGGAACUGUCUCAAUACAGCAUGGUUGUAAAACAUCGGCCUGAGGUUAAACACGGAAAUGAGGAUGCACUUUUAAGGAUUCCGGACACCUUGUUACCGUGUUCAGCAUAUAUAGCUGGCAUAAAGCCUGCAGUUUUGCCAUGUGGUGGUUUUCAUUACUGCAAACGAGUUCACAACCAGUGGGACCGAUUCACAGAACAAAUAGAUGAAGCGGUCAAACUGUCAAUGCAGAAAGGUCAGACAACCGUAAGGAAGAACAGUAAUGUUCAAUUAGGGACAACUGCAGAGAUGAACAAGUCAACGCCAGAAGAGGUAGCAAUUGUAAAAGCUGCUGUUCUUUCAGAGUAUAACAAUGCAGAGUUCAACAGUAACCCAGAGUUUAAACAACCCUAGGAUCCUGAACGAUGUACAGGUCUUCUAGAUGGUACAUCUGACAGGGAAAGUACAAGUCUUUAAGACGGUACUAUGAACAGUGAAGAAACUAGUCUUCUAGACAGUAUUCUUACAGUAGACCUCAUGGGUCUUAGCGGAAGUGAAUCGCAUUUUGAUAUCGUUACAGUAGGGGAUGGUGAGCAGCGCUACCUUUGCGUAUGCCCAGUAGAUGCAGCGAUAGAUUCCAGUACAACUCAACUCAUGCUGGGGAUUCAUUUUCGACGAGUUGCAAACAGAACAGGCAAAAUACAAAGAUUUGCAUUCAUAUUAUUGUCGACUGGUUGAAUAGAAAAAAAAGAACAGAGUGAAAGAAAUCUAUUCUUAUCCAUUCCAGAAGCAAAAAAUUUGGCUUAAUAAAGAAGUAUUUAUGUUGAUUUAUCCACAUGCAACAGAUAUUCGGUUGGUAGUGCCAGAAAGAUCGAAAGAACAAUCAUUGAACUGGCAACUACAUACGUUCUUCAAGGCAUACAUGGGUUGAAAGAACUAAAGCCAAGUUAAAUGAAAAGUUCUUCUGGGUUCAAGAGAUUUAAAAUAAUACGUACAUGUAAUUAUGUGUAAUGUUUUCAACUAGAAUAAUAAACUAAAAAGCUAUGGUAGAGUCCUUGAUAUUAUUCCUUUACAGUAAUGUCGAUGACUUCCAGACCAUAAUGCAAGAUAAUCUGGAAUGAGGGCGUGUCUAUUUCACAACUGAUAAGUUUGUUGGGAAAAAAAAGCAGGAGACGAUAGUGUUGAUGAUGGUAUUUGAUUUGGACCUAAAUGAGGACGAACUUUUUGCUUCGCCAUUAGUCCAGUCUAAUGCAGAAACUGCAGCAGAUCCAACACAAUCCAUGGAAGUGGAUCAGCAGACAGAUUCCCCAUCAGCUACUGCGAAAGUCAGUCCAAGGAAGUCUCCUAGACUGGCUGAGAAAUCUAGGAUUUCACAGGUGAAAGCACCUCCUCAGGAAGUCGCUAAGCCGAAGUCUCCUAAAGCUUCCAAGAGAUCUAUAAACAAGGAAGACCAGAAGAGGGCUUCUAGCUCCUCUUCUAGACAUCCAAAAGAACAUAGAUCUAAAGACAAGGAAGACCAGAAGAGGGCUUCUAGCUCCUCAUAUGGACAUCCGAGAGAGCAUAGACACGAACCACGAAGGCACUCUGAAGAUACUUCGACAGCCAUUUCCACCUGGACAGAACGCUACGUAAACUUAACCUCAAUCCACCCGGAAAUCUGGAUGACGUUAUCGAUUGUGUUCCAGUAGACGCAGAUAAAAAGGUCAAACCUGUUGGAACAGUCGCCGUCUACUGCGAUCCUAGAAGCUAUCCGUCUGAACAAUGUCUUCUAGACUUGCCAGAGGAUAUGUCAGUUGCUAUUGGGUUUCAUCCAAAACAUGCAAAGAACAGAGUACGAAGCAUUGAUGUGGACACUGCAGUUAUCGAGGCUUUUACAGAAUCCUCGUGUAAAAGCGCUCGGCGAGAUUGGUAUCGAUCAUUCCGAGCCAAUGAAAUACUGGUCCUACCAGGUGGAACUACUGGACAAAGUACUGCCAUUGCUUGAAGACCGUCACAUAUUGAUUAUUCAUUGCCGUGGGAUGAAAGGGAAUUGUGGUACAGAAGCCUUCCUAUUGCUUCUCCAUUUCUUACAAAAGAAGGUACGACAACAUCACCCAAUUCAUCUACACUGCUUCACAAGAAACCAGUAUGUGAUACAGAGAUGGUUGGAGAUAUUCCCACAUACUUAUUUUGGAUUUACCAACUUGGCCGAGUCGUUCAAUCCUAAACAGGUGGCAGCACUCCAAAGUAUUGACGAAAACCGCUUACUUCUGGAGUCCGACGCGCCAUAUUUUCCAAGUAUGGGUUCCGAGGUAUCAUCUCCCAGUCAGAUCUUCGCAGCAGCCAAGAGUGUAGCCACACACCGACAGAUGACUGUGGAGCUAAUGUUAGAGAUCACAGUUGCCAACGCAGUGUAUCUCUAUAGAGGGCAGUCCCAGUAAUGUAACGUAAAGUCCACAUUAGCCUGACUUCUAGUCGGCUAAGGUGCACCAUCGUCCGUACAGAAUGGACUUAUAGUCCGUCACCACCAGAUGUCCAUGAGUGCCAGAAGCCAAACCAUUGGAUUUCUAAUCCAAACUACAGAAGGUGUUCCAGAUGACCGUGAUUGGACUUCUAGUCCAAUCUACAGAGUUCCAGUCCAGUUCAAUGACUACCAGUCAUGUACAGUUAAAGGACUUCUAGUUCUCCACAUGCUAAUAAAUCUGUGAUGGUUUCUAAUCAUCAUUGGUUUAUUAUUCGCAACAUUUCUCCCACACUGGACUGAGGCUUUCAUUAUAAAGUUGGGGGGAGUGUUGUGACGGAUGAUACAUUUAGCGGCCAUAUCCCUAAAGGUUGGUAUUAUUAGUGGUGUGAUACCUACUUCCGGAAGUCGAUAGAGGGCGGGAUUCUCCAACUAGAAGAGCAGACUUUACAGUGUCACCACAGAGAACAGACGUAUGUAAUCUCUUCUUACUAAUUUACAUCUCCGUGGGUAAGUCCCCGUCCUCUCCCUGGCCAAUAAGGUAUAUCUGACUGUGGCUUAAUUCAAUGAUGUUACAAUAAUAGUAACCAUUAUUAUGGAAAAAUACAAUAUACAUGCAGGAAUGAUAAUUAAUAAAUUUGAUGCAGACUUAUAGAUGCCUGCCUGUGUCACAACAUUUCUCGAAAAGUCCCCUCUCAAGUAGUAGCCAAAGUAUUUUAAAAGGAAAUAUGCAGAUGUCCGGUAACCGGACGCCUACCCUGCAUUCUAGCUGUCCGGCAACAAUACGACUAGCCUCUCCGCGAAUGUUUUUCUAGCUGUUCGGCGAUCUUUUUAUAUAUGAAUACAGUAAGGAAAUAAAUUUAUUGUAUCAUUUUUUUGGGCAUAGGUUUGAAUAUUCACCUGUAAGGCGUAUACAAUAUUUUAAAAUUGAUUACCGGACACCUAGAAAACCCUUAUAGGAUAGAAAUUUGGAUAGGCUAUGUAUCCUGUUACCGGUUGGCUAGAACACCGGCUAGGUUUCUGGUUACCGGAUGUCUAGACACUUCCAUUUAUAAAAUGGUAACUGUUUUUUGCUGUGGGUCUCAUAAGUCGUGUUAUUUCUGUCUGGUGACUACUCUCUUUCCAAUUAUUGUUGAUUCAGAAUGUUUUGUAACAGGAUGAUUUCUUUUUGGAUAGUGGGAAUUUAUGCCAUAUAAUGAAAAUCUUUUUAAUUUUGAAAUUUUUGAGCCUUGCUGUGUGUAAAACAAUUUAUGAUCCUUUAAAAAAUAGAUUCCUAGUAUAAUAACUUUUAUAGUAUUUUGUGGUAAGUUAAUUAAACCUUUCACAAUCACAUUAUUAACUUAGUAUUCAUGAUUUUUUUGAUUUUUAGUGAUGUUUACAGUACAUGUAAUGUAUCUUCUUUCAGAUAAUAUUCCUUGUUCCUUUGAUGGUUCAUUCCACUAUACAGCUGGUUCAUAUACCCUACAACAGCCAGGUAAUUGGUCUGUUUACUUUAAGAUCCCAAGAAAAUGUAACAUAUUUUGGAUGUGCUUUGAGGAAUCAGGAAGGCAAGUGUUUCCACUUGUUUAUGAAGCAACUCAGUUGGUUAAGGGGCAGACAACUUGCGAGCAUGGUACAUCACUACCUGUAUUGGUAUUCCAUUUUGACAAUGCUGCUAGCUAAAAUAGAAAUAACACCUUGCUGUGGUACGGUCUGUGGAGACUUUUACUAGGAUAUCACAGAUCGAUUGAAUAUUCAACAAUGAUCACAGACCAUGCAAAGUUUGAAUCUGACCUGCACUUUUGAAUUUAGAAGAAUCUUUGGAGGAGGGUGAAUGCUGAGACCUUUAAUAAUACAUGAUAUUGCUGACACAGUGUGUCAGUCAUCAAAGAAAGGUCAUAACACUGCACAGUUGGUCAACAAUGAUUUAAAUCCUGUCACAUUCUACCAGUGGAGAAAUAUCUUAUCACAACAUUUUAAACUUUUGAAGAAGAUAACCAAGUAUUACCACUUUAUCAUGUCUGCAGAAACACCUGGAUUGUUAGUGUUAAAAGUGACAGUCCAGUUAACUUACUACAAUCUACUCCCUCUUGCCAAACGAAUAUUAUUGACAUGGAAUAACACAAGCCUGACAAUGGUACCUGUAUGAACUCAUAAGAGAAUAGUAUUUGUCUGAAAAGUCAAAGGAUUCUGUUUGUCCCAAACCACUUCAACUGAAAACUGAAAUUGUGAUUGGCGAGGAUUUUUCUGAGAACUGAAAAAAGGAAGUGAAUGUAAAAGAUAGAAAUUGUUGUUGAAUUCAAAUGUUUUAAUACACAACACUUUAGCCUGUUUUGCUGUUCAUAUAGAUGUGUUUAGCUGUUAAGGUUAAACAUCAAGUAAAGGUUGUAGUUUCAGUUACCUACAUUAAAGUAUUGGCUGGAAAUAAAUAUUUACUUUUCA